CGUUGAAGUAUCACGGCACAUGUAGAUUGAUAUUACGAAUAAAAUUCAAGCUGGUGAUUAAAACCUGCGAAAAUCUAAGAUGUCAAUAUUUAACGAUUUUUAAAAACACCAAUACUCACCUUAACUACAAAUGUUGGUAAAUAUUUUCUUUUAACUGCCUUUCAUGAUUAAAUUGAUUGGUCAUAAUUUAAAAUUUGGGCAAUUACCUAUUAUCAAACAGCUCAUGACAUGUUUUUAUAAAAUAAAACCAUUUAAAGAUGGAUUUCAAAAUGGCAAAUACCAUGGUGAAUGGUGAUAAUAACAAUGUAAUAGUUCUUAAAAGAACUGUUUUAACCAGAACACUAAUCCAACAAUUCAAAGGAAUCGUUAUUUACAGCUAGAAAGAGGCACUAUGCAUUUCGGCAGACUACUCGUAAAUAAAACCAUUGUUCUCACGAUAUAACUUACUUAGAGUGCGAGCACUGUAGUGAAGUAUAAUGCAAACAAAAAACAGGUGCCUUUAACGGAUAUUAGCCUCAAGUGAACCAAUAAACUUACUCUAAACUUAAAUUUUUUUUAGAUUUAUUAAGUGAAUAAGAUUUACAUGCGAUAUACGGCUUGUCUGUAUACAACUAUUUAGUGAAAUUUGUGAAUUUCUGCAAAAAGGUAAAAGCAAUCCAUAUAAUAAUAUGUAUGUAUUAAAUGUUGUGUCAAUGUUGGUCUGUAUCUUAUUAUAACAGGGUGCAGCUGUUACAGCAGUUGUACCAAGUACAAUCAAAGGAAAUUGAAAA